rnacentral:rRNA from 1 species
GAUGAACGCUGGCGGCGUGCCUAACACAUGCAAGUCGAACGGUCUCUUCGGAGAUAGUGGCGGACGGGUGAGUAACGCGUGAAAAUCUGCCUUUAGGUUCGGGACAACAGUUGGAAACGACUGCUAAUACCGAAUGUGUCGCAAGAUGAAAGAUUAAUUGCCUAAAGAUGAGUUCGCGUCCGAUUAGCUAGUUGGUGUGGUAAGAGCGCACCAAGGCGACGAUCGGUAGCUGGUCUGAGAGGAUGAUCAGCCACACUGGGACUGAGACACGGCCCAG